UUCCUGACGGCGGCGCGGUUCCCCGAGGGGCGCUUCUUGGAGGCGGCGUUGCUGUUACCGGUGGUGUUGGUGUUGUUCUCGGACGGCGACUCGGCGGCGUCGUCGCCGGGCGAGGCGGCGACGAUCUUGGUGUGGACGUGGACGCAGGUGUGGGUGUGCGAGAGGUCGUGCACGGGCGGGUUGCAGGUGUGGGUGUGCGUGCACGCGUGGUGCUCCGUGUCCUUGAGGAUCUCGUCGAAGUAGCUGUCCAUGGAGCAGCUGCUGGGCGGGUCGGUGCCGAGCGCCGGGCACAGGUACGUGUCCGGGUUGGAGAAAUCCAGGUCCCCGUCGUCCA
rnacentral:lncRNA from 1 species